UGAGACUGAAGUACUGACGAUGAAGAUGAACAGUCCUCUAUUUAGGGGUGUUUGGUUCCACGGACUAAAGUUUAGUCCCUGUCACAUCGAAUAUUUAGAUAUUAAUUAGGAGCAUUAAACAUAGACUAAUUAUAAAAACUAAUUGCACAUAUUCGCGAGACGAAUUUAUUAAGCCUAAUUAGUUCAUGAUUGACAAUAUGAUACUACAGUAAAUAUGUGCUUAAUCAUGAACUAAUUAGGGUUAAUAGAUUCGUCUCGCGAAUUAGGCUCCAUCUGUGCAAUUGAUUUUAUAAUUAGUAUAUUUAGUCCUAGUAUCUAAAUAUUCGAUGUGACAGGAGCUAAUCGUGGAACUAAACACCAGUAGUUGCGUUGCGCUGUGUACUGAACUGAAAAGAAAAAUGUAACAGGAGCUGGCGCAGGAGCUGGGGAUCUACCUGCUCUCUUUUGAUCGUCCUGGGUACGGCGAGAGCGACCCGCACCCGGGGAGGACUGUGAAGAGCAUCGCCUUGGACAUCGAGCA
rnacentral:lncRNA from 1 species